UUAAGUGACGAUGGCCUAGGAGAUACACCUGUUCCCAUGCCGAACACAGAAGUUAAGCCCUAGUACGCCUGAUGUAGUUGGGGGUUGCCCCCUGUUAGAUACGGUAGUCGCUUAGC
rnacentral:rRNA from 1 species